rnacentral:rRNA from 1 species
UACACACCGCCCGUCACACCAUGGGAGUUGGAUUGACCCGAAGGCAGUGAGCUAACCCGCAAGGGAGGCAGGCGACCACGGUGGGUUUAGCGACUGGGGUG